CCCUUAGAUGUUCUGGGCCGCACGCGUGCUACACUGAGUAAAUCAAUGGGUAAGGGAACACGAAAGUGCAACCUAAUCUUGAAAUUUGCUCGUGAUGGGGAUCGACGGUUGCAAUUUUCCGUCGUGAACGAGGAAUACCUUGUAGGCGCGUGUCAUCAUCGCGCGCCGAAUACGUCCCUGCCCUUUGUACACACCGCCCGUCGCUCCUACCGAUUGAGCAAUCCGGUGAAUAUUUCGGACAGUCGUAAAUGUUGGUUCGCCAAUGUUUUUGUACUGAAAGUCAAGUGAACCUUAUUGCUUAGAGGAAGGAGAAGUCGUAACA
rnacentral:rRNA from 1 species